AGAGUUUGAUCAUGGCUCAGGACGAACGCUGGCGGCGCGCCUAAAACAUGCAAGUCGAACGAGAAGCCCGGGCUUGCCCGGGUGGACAGUGGCGAACGGGUGAGUAACACGUGAGGAACCUGCCCCGAAGACCGGGACAACACCGGGAAACCGGUGCUAAUACCGGAUACCUUCACCGGAUCGCAUGGUCUGGUGAAGAAAUGGAUUCCGCUUCGGGAUGGCCUCGCGGCCUAUCAGCUUGUUGGUGAGGUAACGGCUCACCAAGGCAACGACGGGUAGCUGGUCUGAGAGGAUGUCCAGCCACACUGGGACUGAGACACGGCCCAGACUCCUACGGGAGGCAGCAGUUAGGAAUCUUGCGCAAUGGACGAAAGUCUGACGCAGCAACGCCGCGUGAGGGAUGACGGCCUUCGGGUUGUAAACCUCUUUCAGCAGGGACGAAGCGAGAGUGACGGUACCUGCAGAAGAAGGACCGGCCAACUACGUGCCAGCCGCCGCGGUAAUUC
rnacentral:rRNA from 1 species